AGCAGCCGCGGUAAUUCCAGCUCCAAUAGCGUAUAUUAAAGUUGUUGCGGUUAAAAAGCUCGUAGUUGGAUCUCAGUCGUUGCCUGUUGGUCCGCCUCUGAACGAGACGGCAACCAGCAGCUGCACGACAGCUUAUCAAUUAGUCUCGCCCGAGAGGGCAGACUCGAAGGUCCUGUGGUGCUCUUCACCGGGUGUCACAGGCGAUUGAUACGUUUACUUUGAAAAAAU
rnacentral:rRNA from 1 species